CAGCACACACAAAAAAAAGACAGGAACACAGGGAAAAAGUGCAAUCGACAAAUCCUUGAAAAGUCUUGAAAAUUUUUAGAUAGACUAUACUUACUCAAACCCUUGUUAGAAGCUAAUUUGGAUUAAUGGACAGCCUAAUAAUAAACCAGUAUUAGUUCCUGUUGUCUUUUAAUUAACUUAUCUUAUUAGACAACUUUUCUGCGCCAUGUUUAACAACUGUGCGGGAAUACGUUUUAUUUAUUUCUGAAAUUUUCCGGUGAAAGUCGUUGCGGAAAUGAGGACGCCAACCAGUGGAGAUUGUGCAGGGAAAACGCGAUCGAACGAGAUCAAUUGGUCAUUAUUUGUCUUGGGAUUCCAUUUUUCUAUACGAUUUUCAUGGAUGAUGCUCCAAGCCUAGACCACCUAGACGGACCGGAAGUUGCAGCUAAAUUCACAUCAAACUUACUUUUUUAACCGAGGGCGGCCUCUUUCCAACGCUGUUAAUAAUAAAUAAAAAAAUGUCACGAUAUUAAUUAGCCAUGCAGUUCAACAUGCGAAUGAACUAUAACUUCCAUCGAAAAAAGGGAAAUUUGAAUCUUAAGAUGUACCCCCAAUUUAUUGACACAAUACAAAAGAACGAAGCAUUUACAGUGCCAGUGGCAUAUACCAAAGAACUCACACAUUUUAUUCACUUUAACUAGAGACUUUCAUUAAGUUUCCACCGGGCACAAAUGCGCAAAUUUUAUAACGGCCGGAGUCGUUCCACUUCUAGAGAAGCGGUCCAUGAAUCAUAAGCUCUUUGGGGUAUCACUCGGGACCUAAAGUGCUCCGCUUACUAAGAGGUCCCUACACUGACUACACCACCGAUCCUUCAGCAAUAUUUCUGUUAACUGCCUUAAAAUAUCUGAAAUGUCAUCUAAUUAGCACUAAAUGAAUAUUUAUAUUAAAAAUAAAUUACUUUAUAUACUACUAAAAAAUAUAAAACUUUUACUUGA